UUACAUAGGUGCAGAAGAUGCUGAAAACUUUCUUGCUGCAAUUAUAGUUUUAGCAAUUCUGCUGCUCAUUUCACUUGUUAUCCUUGCUUACUUUAUCUAUCAAAAUCGUCGACUCAAAUCAUCAAAGGCAAACCCAGAGAACAAGAACAAGGACAGAAAUAAUUCAAAAGAUAUUUAUGAAAAUCCUGAGAAAAUCCAAGAUGAUGCGAAUUAUGAACAAGUGGAAAAUGAACACUCGACGUAUAAAGGUCUCGAAAAGACUGGGGAGGAAGAAAAUGAUGAUCACUUAUAUAGCCAUCUAAAUGAAGUAUACAAGGGCUACGUUAAUCAGAAGGAAAAUGGAAUUUAAGGGGGCUCUUGUACGAAGCCCGUCUGGUUUAUGUAGUGAAUAAGCUUAAUAUAGAUAAUAAGAAAUAAGCCAGCAUAAAUUUGUUAAAUAACCAAACUGAACUCUUUCGAUCGACUUGAAUAGAAGAUUACUAAUACCAAGUAAUUGUUGAACUGUUAUCAUAAUACCUGAAAUGUAUAAAACAUAAUCUAUAGCCGUGUUUACGUGAUUUAGGAAUUUUGACAUUUGUUAUUCCUGCAAUUUCAAAAACACCACAGUCUUCCCG
rnacentral:lncRNA from 1 species